AACGAACGCUGGCGGCAUGCCUAACACAUGCAAGUCGAACGAGACCUUCGGGUCUAGUGGCGCACGGGUGCGUAACGCGUGGGAACCUGCCCUUAGGUUCGGAAUAACUCCCCGAAAGGGGUGCUAAUACCGGAUAAUGUCUUCGGACCAAAGAUUUAUCGCCUUUGGAUGGGCCCGCGUUGGAUUAGCUAGUUGGUAGGGUAAAAGCCUACCAAGGCGACGAUCCAUAGCUGGUCUGAGAGGAUGAUCAGCCACACUGGGACUGAGACACGGCCCAGACUCCUACGGGAGGGAGCAGUAGGGAAUAUUGGACAAUGGGCGAAAGCCUGAUCCAGCAAUGCCGCGUAAGUGAUGAAGGCCUUAGGGUUGUAAAGCUCUUUUACCCGGGAUGAUAAUGACGGUACCGGGAGAAUAAGCUCCGGCUAACUCCGUG
rnacentral:rRNA from 1 species